AUGUCACUGGACAUGAUUCAGUGCUCCUCUGGAGAAAUUGUCCUCACACAGUCUCCAGCCUCCCUGUCACUUUCUCCCGGACAAAAGGCCACAAUCUCCUGCCGGGCCAGUCAGAGUCUUAGCAACAACUGGUUACACUGGUACCAGCAGAAACCUGGGCAGGCUCCCAGGCGCCUCAUCUAUAAUGCAAACAGCAGGCCCAAUGGCAUCCCAGCCCGCUUCAGCGGCAGCGGGUCUGGGACAGACUUCACGCUCACCAUCAGCAGCCUGGAGCCUGAGGAUGCCGCCACUUACUACUGUUACCAGAGUAAUAGUGCACCUCCCACAGUGACACAGGCCUGA